UUUUUCUCAGUUUCUCCUCUUUCUCUCUCUACACAACUCCUCGAUCUCGAUCUCGUUUUCACAUAACUCGAAACAAUUUCGCUAUCAAUCUAUACUCUUAUUGAAAUCCAAAAAUUUCUCUCGCUCUCGUCAGAAUCUAGAUCGUUUCGCUUCGUUGAAUCGCGAAUCUGAUGCAAACUUCCAAGAUCGGUGAAACUUUAGCUUCGUUUUCUUCACUAUAAGUGAGUCAGUUUAUGUAGUAUGCAUUCUUGAAGGGUAACAAGCCAGAUUUCAAUGUGGUAAUGGUGCCUCAAAGAGCCAAGCCCUUUUAUGCCUCUUUAGUGGACAGGUUUAGGAAUGCUUAUAACUCUGAUGCAAUCAAGGGUCUAAUUGGGAAAACCAUUUCCAAACAGAACUAAGAUGAAUUGGACGCCAUUUUCAAACAGAAGCGAACUCUCCGUACUCAGCUCAGAAAAACCCUCAAGGCCAUUGACCCCUCCCUCAGAUCUCAACAAGGUACAAUACAAUUUAAUCUUUGGUCGCUCUUUUUUUAUUCCCACACAAUCGUUUCUUGUUCCGACAACGCUAUUCAGGACAUAAUUUUGGGAGCUCCGUGGUUCAAAUCAAGUCUUAGGUUAUGCGCAUACAUAAGUUGCAAUGCUCUACAGGAAGUCGAUACUUUCAAACUCUUGUCACACAUUUUGCAACCUCAGCCCAAUGGCGGUAAAAAACUGUAUGUACCGCGAGUGGAAGAUAAAAACAGUCACAUGCGUAUGCUUAACAUAUCCCGUAUUGAUGACCUUGUUGCAAACUCAAUGGACAUCUUAGAAUCUGCUCCAGUUGAUGCUGAUGGAAGUGCACGUGAAGAUGGUAUUUGUCUCUCUUUUUCAUUCACUGCCAAACUCUCUUAUCUUACUCACUAGAAUAUUCAUGCCUGAGGGAAAUCUUUUCUAUUUUUAUUUCCUAGAAUUUGUAUUAGUCUUGUUAACAAGGAUAAAAAAGAUUCUUGAAGUGAACAAUUGUCUUGCAUUUCCAAAAACAAUGACAAUGUCAAAAGAGCUAUUUUCAUUAUUUCUUUAAAUGCAUCAUCCUUAGCUAGCAUUUUUAAUUCUCUUCAUCAGAAUGACUCACUUGUUUACAAUUAAAACAACAACGAAAUCAUAUUUC